rnacentral:rRNA from 1 species
ACACAUGCAAGUCGAACGAGAGAUGAGGAGCUUGCUCUUCAAAUCGAGUGGCGAACGGGUGAGUAACGCGUGAGGAACCUGCCUCAAAGAGGGGGACAACAGUUGGAAACGACUGCUAAUACCGCAUAAGCCCACGGCUCGGCAUCGAGCAGAGGGAAAAGGAGCAAUCCGCUUUGAGAUGGCCUCGCGUCCGAUUAGCUAGUUGGUGAGGUAACGGCCCACCAAGGCGACGAUCGGUAGCCGGACUGAGAGGUUGAACGGCCACAUUGGGACUGAGACACGGCCCAGACUCCUACGGGAGGCAGCAGUGGGGAAUAUUGCACAAUGGGGGAAACCCUGAUGCAGCGACGCCGCGUGGAGGAAGAAGGUCUUCGGAUUGUAAACUCCUGUUGUUGAGGAAGAUAAUGACGGUACUCAACAAGGAAGUGACGGCUAACUACGUGCCAGCAGCCGCGGUAAAACGUAGGUCACAAGCGUUGUCCGGAAUUACUGGGUGUAAAGGGAGCGCAGGCGGGAGAACAAGUUGGAAGUGAAAUCCAUGGGCUCAACCCAUGAACUGCUUUCAAAACUGUUUUUCUUGAGUAGUGCAGAGGUAGGCGGAAUUCCCGGUGUAGCGGUGGAAUGCGUAGAUAUCGGGAGGAACACCAGUGGCGAAGGCGGCCUACUGGGCACCAACUGACGCUGAGGCUCGAAAGUGUGGGUAGCAAACAGGAUUUGAUACCCUGGUAGUCCACACCGUAAACGAUGAUUACUAGGUGUUGGAGGAUUGACCCCUUCAGUGCCGCAGUUAACACAAUAAGUAAUCCACCUGGGGAGUACGACCGCAAGGUUGAAACUCAAAGGAAUUGACGGGGGCCCGCACAAGCAGUGG